rnacentral:rRNA from 1 species
CCUACGGGGGGCAGCAGUGAGGAAUAUUGGUCAAUGGGCGGAAGCCUGAACCAGCCAUGUAGCGUGCGGGAUGAAGGCCCUACGGGUCGUAAACCGCUUUUGCACGGGGAUAACACCCUCCACUUGUGGAUGUCUGCAGGUACCGUCCGAAUAAGGGCCGGCUAAUUCCGUGCCAGCAGCCGCGGUAAUACGGAAGGCCCAAGCGUUAUCCGGAUUCAUUGGGUUUAAAGGGAGCGUAGGCGGCGGUUAAAUUUAGGGGUAAAAUCGCGAGGCUCAACUGCGACCUGCAGCUGAUACUGGACGCCUAGAGUGUACAACAGGCAGGCGGAAUGCGUGGUGUAGCGGUGAAAUGCAUAGAGAUCACGCGGAACCCCGAUUGCGAAGGCAGCCUGCCGGGGUGCGACUGACGCUGAGGCACGAAGGUGUGGGUAUCAAACAGGAUUAGAUACCCGUGUAGUC